rnacentral:rRNA from 1 species
GAGACCCACGCCAACAGUUGCCAGCACGUUCUCCGGAAUGGUGGGGACACUGUUGGGACCGCCUCUGCUAAAGAGGAGGAAGGAAUGGGCAACGGUAGGUCAGCAUGCCCCGAAUUACCCGGGCUACACGCGGGCUACAAUGGACAGGACAAUGGGUAUCGACACCGAAAGGUGAAGGCAAUCUCCUAAACCCAUCCUUAGUUCGGAUUGAGGGCUGAAACUCGCCCUCAUGAAGCUGGAAUCCGUAGUAAUCGCGUUUCAACAUAGCGCGGUGAAUAC